rnacentral:rRNA from 1 species
UACGAAGGGUGCAAACGUUGCUCGGAAUCACUGGGCGUAAAGCGCACGUAGGCGGAUCUUUAAGUCAGGGGUGAAAUCCCAAGGCUCAACCUUGGAACUGCCUUUGAUACUGGGGAUCUCGAGUCCGGAAGAGGUGAGUGGAACUGCGAGUGUAGAGGUGAAAUUCGUAGAUAUUCGCAAGAACACCAGUGGCGAAGGCGGCUCACUGGCCCGAUACUGACGCUGAGGCACGAAAGCGUGGGGAGCAAAC